rnacentral:lncRNA from 1 species
UCUUAGUUUGAGGCCAACCUGGUCUACAGAGUGAGAUCCAGGACAGCCAGGGCUACACAGAGAAACCCUAUCUCAAAAAAGAAAAAAGAAAAGAAAAAGAGAUGAAAAUAGAAGAUAACACAGAAGAAAAUCCAGCUGAUGUGGGGUCUGGUAUGGGACUUUUCAGAUACUGCACCACAGUGAGGAGAGACUGCCAUGUGUCCAAGCAAGGAGGCAGAUGCAGAGAAGCUACUGCAGAGAAGGCAAGAAGAUGAUCCUACAUGAAGUUCUUUCUCCUGGCCCAAGUCACAGCUACAGGCCUCUAGACCCAGGGCAUGGGCCAGGCCAGCCCUGGCUCUGAAGCCCUCUCUCCUUCAGAAGAACAAAGAGCUAAUUAAAAAGCUAACUAUAGUAGCACUCUCCUGUGAUCUCAGCUCUGUGGAAGCAGAAACGGGAGGAUCAGAGGCGGCCCAGGACUAACUACCCAGAGGCCUUAGAGGGUAAAGGAUCUUACCACCAAACCUACCAAUGUGCCUUCAGUCCCCAGAGUCACAUGGUUCCCAGACCCACACAGUGAAGAGAGAACAGGUUCCUAUCCUCUGACUUC